rfam:Helianthus annuus linkage group 10, whole genome shotgun sequence.
UGAUGCAUUACUGGGCAAGAUCUCAUUUGGCAGGCGUACCGUUAAUCGCUUUUGGUUUACAUGAAUCGGAAGUGAUUAGUAAAAAUUGCCAAAGGAGAUUUGCCUAGCAAUUCAUCU